CCAAUUAUAUCAUGAAAUAUAUCAUUAUAGAUUUCCAUCCCAUGUACAUAGACUAUAUCUCUCAUAUACAUUCUAUCUUCAUAUAAUGUAUUAAAGUCAUAACUUUAACGAAGAAGUAUUAUUUUCAUUUCCAAAAUAAAUAUAUCAUAUAUAUUUAAAUUUUUAGGAACAUGAUUAACUCCCACUAAUCUUUUGUAAACCUAGUAAACAAAAGAUUCAUUUACAUCUUUAUGAGAAAUCAAACGAUUUGAUCUUUCUCUCAUAAGACGCAUAUAGCUCC
rnacentral:lncRNA from 1 species